AGAGUUUGAUCCUGGCUCAGAGUGAACGCUGGCGGCGUGCCUAAUACAUGCAAGUCGAACGAUGAAAUUUCUAGCUUGCUAGAAAUGGAUUAGUGGCGCACGGGUGAGUAACGCAUAGGUUAUGUGCCUCUUAGUUUGGGAUAGCCAUUGGAAACGAUGAUUAAUACCAGAUACUCCCUACGGGGGAAAGAUUUAUCGCUAAGAGAUCAGCCUAUGUCCUAUCAGCUUGUUGGUAAGGUAAUGGCUUACCAAGGCUAUGACGGGUAUCCGGCCUGAGAGGGUGAACGGACACACUGGAACUGAGACACGGUCCAGACUCCUACGGGAGGCAGCAGUAGGGAAUAUUGCUCAAUGGGGGAAACCCUGAAGCAGCAACGCCGCGUGGAGGAUGAAGGUUUUAGGAUUGUAAACUCCUUUUGUUAGAGAAGAUAAUGACGGUAUCUAACGAAUAAGCACCGGCUAACUCCGUGCCAGCAGCCGCGGUAAUACGGAGGGUGCAAGCGUUACUCGGAAUCACUGGGCGUAAAGAGCGCGUAGGCGGGAUAGUCAGUCAGGUGUGAAAUCCUAUGGCUUAACCAUAGAACUGCAUUUGAAACUACUAUUCUAGAGUGUGGGAGAGGUAGGUGGAAUUCUUGGUGUAGGGGUAAAAUCCGUAGAGAUCAAGAGGAAUACUCAUUGCGAAGGCGACCUGCUGGAACAUUACUGACGCUGAUUGCGCGAAAGCGUGGGGAGCAAACAGGAUUAGAUACCCUGGUAGUCCACGCCCUAAACGAUGGAUGCUAGUUGUUGGAGGGCUUAGUCUCUCCAGUAAUGCAGCUAACGCAUUAAGCAUCCCGCCUGGGGAGUACGGUCGCAAGAUUAAAACUCAAAGGAAUAGACGGGGACCCGCACAAGCGGUGGAGCAUGUGGUUUAAUUCGAAGAUACACGAAGAACCUUACCUAGGCUUGACAUUGAGAGAAUCCGCUAGAAAUAGUGGAGUGUCUAGCUUGCUAGACCUUGAAAACAGGUGCUGCACGGCUGUCGUCAGCUCGUGUCGUGAGAUGUUGGGUUAAGUCCCGCAACGAGCGCAACCCCCUUUCUUAGUUGCUAACAGGUCAUGCUGAGAACUCUAAGGAUACUGCCUCCGUAAGGAGGAGGAAGGUGGGGACGACGUCAAGUCAUCAUGGCCCUUACGCCUAGGGCUACACACGUGCUACAAUGGGGUGCACAAAGAGAAGCAAUACUGCGAAGUGGAGCCAAUCUUCAAAACACCUCUCAGUUCGGAUUGUAGGCUGCAACUCGCCUGCAUGAAGCUGGAAUCGCUAGUAAUCGCAAAUCAGCCAUGUUGCGGUGAAUACGUUCCCGGGUCUUGUACUCACCGCCCGUCACACCAUGGGAGUUGUGUUUGCCUUAAGUCAGGAUGCUAAACCAGCUACUGCCCACGGCACACACAGCGACUGGGGUGAAGUCGUAACAAGGUAACCGUAGGUGAACCUGCGGUUG
rnacentral:rRNA from 4 species